rnacentral:rRNA from 1 species
UACGAAGGGAGCUAGCGUUGUUCGGAAUCACUGGGCGUAAAGCGCACGUAGGCGGACUUGCAAGUCGGGGGUGAAAUCCCGGGGCUCAACCUCGGAACUGCCUUCGAUACUGUAAGUCUCGAGUCCGGAAGAGGUGGGUGGAAUUCCUAGUGUAGAGGUGAAAUUCGUAGAUAUUAGGAAGAACACCAGUGGCGAAGGCGGCCCACUGGUCCGGUACUGACGCUGAGGUGCGAAAGCGUGGGGAGCAAACAGG